rnacentral:rRNA from 1 species
GAUGAACGCUGGCGGUCUGCUUAACACAUGCAAGUCGAACGGAAUCCCUCGGGAUUUAGUGGCGGACGGGUGAGUAACACGUAAGAACCUGCCUCUAGGACGGGGACAACAGUUGGAAACGACUGCUAAACCCGGAUGAGCCGAAAGGUAAAAGAUUUAUCGCCUAGGAAGGGGCUUGCGUCUGAUUAGCUAGUUGGUAAGGUAAAGGCUUACCAAGGCGACGAUCAGUAGCUGGUCUGAGAGGAUGAUCAGCCACACUGGGACUGAGACACGGCCCAGACUCCUACGGGAGGCAGCAGUGGGGAAUUUUCCGCAAUGGGCGAAAGCCUGACGGAGCAAGACCGCGUGGGGGAGGAAGGUUCUUGGAUUGUCAACCCCUUUUCUCAGGGAAGAACGCAAUGACGGUACCUGAGGAAAAAGCAUCGGCUAACUCCGUGCCAGCCGCCGCAGUAACAC